CCUACGGGAGGCAGCAGUGGGGGAUAUUGCACAAUGGGGGAAACCCUGAUGCAGCGACGCCGCGUGGGCGAAGAAGUAUUUCGGUAUGUAAAGCCCUAUCAGCAGGGAAGAAGAAAUUACGGUACCUGAGUAAGAAGCACCGGCUAAAUACGUGCCAGCAGCCGCGGUAAUACGUAUGGUGCAAGCGUUAUCCGGAUUUACUGGGUGGAAAGGGAGCGCAGGCGGCACGGCAAGCCUGAUGUGAAAGCCCGCGGCCCAACCGCGGGACUGCAGUGGGAACUACCGGGCUGGAGUGCCGGAGAGGUAGGCGGAAUUCCUAGUGUAGCGGUGAAAUGCGUAGAUAUUAGGAGGAACACCAGUGGCGAAGGCGGCCUACUGGACGGUGACUGACGCUGAGGCUCGAAAGCGUGGGGAGCAAACAGGAUUAGAUACCCGGGUAGUC
rnacentral:rRNA from 1 species